GAACCUGCCCAGUGAAGUUUUAACGGCCGCGGUACCCUGACCGUGCAAAGGUAGCAUAAUCACUUGCCUUAUAAUUGAAGGCUAGCAUGAAUGGUCUGACGAGAGCUACGCUGUCUCCUCUUUAUUAUCUAGAAAUUAACUUAUAGGUGAAGAGGCCUAUAUUAUAUUGAAGGACAAGAAGACCCUGUCGAGCUUAAAAGUAAAGUAAAAGCUAGCUAUAAGAAGAAAUCAACAAAUUACAUAACUUUUUAGUUGGGGCGACUAAGGAACAAAUAAAGCUUCUUUUAUUUUUAUAGAUUAGCAGAUCCUGAUCCAGCUAAUGCUGAUUGGAGGAAUUAGUUACCGCAGGGAUAACAGCAUAAUCUCCUUUGAGAGACCUAAUCGAAAGGGGGGGUUGUGACCUCGAUGUUGGACUAGAAUAUCCUGAAGAUGCAGACGUCUUCAAAGGUUGG
rnacentral:rRNA from 9 species